CCAUUUAACAUCAGAUAUUAAAAUUCAUUUAUUAAAUUUUUUUGGGAAAACUUCAAAAACCCCCCAUGUGGUUUCGUGCAUUCUCACUUUGCUACCCUGUGGUUUAAAACGUAUCAAUUUGCCCCCCUGUGGUUUCGUUUUUAUCUUUUUGUUAUCAAUUUUAUUAUUAUUUUUUUUUUAAAUCAGUGACAAAGUUAAAAUUAAAGGAUACUAAAGUGACUAUUUGAUAAAUAUAGAUGGUUAUCUGAAGUUUUUUGUAUAUAAUUUAACGAAAUAUUAACGAAAAAGCUUCCGAAAAGAUAAAAAUGAAAUCACAGGGGGGUAAAUUGAUACGUUUUAAACCACAGGGUAGCAAAGUGAGAAUGCACGAAACCACAGGGGGGGUUUUUGAAGUUUUCC
rnacentral:lncRNA from 1 species